AUGAACGCUGGCGGCGUGCCUAAUACAUGCCAGUCGAGCGAACGGACGAGAAGCUUGCUUCUCUGAUGUUAGCGGCGGACGGGUGAGUAACACGUGGAUAACCUACCUAUAAGACUGGGAUAACUUCGGGAAACCGGAGCUAAUACCGGAUAAUAUUUUGCACCGCAUGGUUCAAAAGUGAAAGACGGUCUUGCUGUCACUUAUAGAUGGAUCCGCGCUGCAUUGGCUAGUUGGUAAGGUAACGGCUUACCAAGGCAACGAUGCAUAGCCGACCUGAGAGGGUGAUCGGCCACACUGGAACUGAGACACGGUCCAGACUCCUACGGGAGGCAGCAGUAGGGAAUCUUCCGCAAUGGGCGAAAGCCUGACGGAGCAACGCCGCGUGAGUGAUGAAGGUCUUCGGAUCGUAAAACUCUGUUAUUAGGGAAGAACAUAUGUGUAAGUAACUGUGCACAUCUUGACGGUACCUAAUCAGAAAGCCACGGCUAACUACGUG
rnacentral:rRNA from 1 species